rnacentral:misc_RNA from 1 species
ACACCACUUAAGCCCAGCUUAGUGUUGGGAAUCUACGCUGGGGUGCUACCCGGGACUUACCCUGUAGCUACCCUGUAGUUCCUUAAAGACAGCGGCGGAGUCGUGGUAUCCUCUGAGCUUAGUAGUAACAUUCUAGCUUUCGAGUAUCCACUCCCCUUGCCGUUAAACACCCUUCUUUUGAAU